AGAGUUUGAUUCUGGCUCAGAACGAACGCUGGCAGCGUGGAUGAGGCACGCAAGUCGAACGGUUAUUUCUUUGUAGCAAUACUAAGGAAUGAUAGUGGCGGAAGGGCGAGUAAUGCGAGAGCAAGCUACCCCUCGAACUGGGACAACGUUUGGAAACGAACGCUAAUACCGGAUACGAAGCGCGGUCAUAUGGCCGUGUCUUGAAAGGUGGGGACCCGCAAGGGCCUGCCGUCGAAGGAGGCGCACCCGUGCCAUCAGCUAGUUGGUGAGGUAAUGGCUCACCAAGGCUUACGGCUAGGUGGACUGAGAGGUCGGUCACCCGCACUGGGACUGAGACACUGCCCAGACUCCUACGGGAGGCUGCAGUCGAGGAUCAUUCGCAAUGGGCGAAAGCCUGACGAUGCGACGCUGCGUGUAGGAUGAAGGCCUUCGGGUCGUAAACUACUGUCAUGUGGGGCAAGGGAGCCGGUGUGAAUAGCGCCUGGCUUUUGAUGGUACCACAAGAGGAAGCCACGGCUAACUCUGUGCCAGCAGCCGCGGUAAUACAGAGGUGGCGAGCGUUGUUCGGAUUUACAGGGCGUAAAGCGUGCGUAGGCGGUCGCGUAUGUCGGAUGUGAAAUCCCGGGGCUCACCCCCGGAAGUGCAUCCGAAACUGCGUGCUAGAGGCCGGGAUGGGUGACUGGAACACAUGGUGUAGCGGUGAAAUGCGUUGAUAUCAUGUGGAACACCGGAGGCGAAGGCGAGUCACUGGAACGGAUCUGACGCUAAGACACGAAAGCGUGGGGAGCAAACAGGAUUAGAUACCCUGGUAGUCCACGCUGUAAACGGUGCACAUUUGCCGUAGGGGGAAUUGACCCCCCCUGUGGCGUAGCAAACGCGUUAAAUGUGCCGCCUGGGGAGUACGGCCGCAAGGUUAAAACUCAAAGAAAUUGACGGGGGCCCGCACAAGCGGAGGAGCAUGUGGCUUAAUUCGAUGCAACGCGAAGAACCUUACCUAGACUUGACAUGUGACUGCACGACCGGUGAAAGCCGGUUUCCUUCGAGGGUGUCACACAGGUGCUGCAUGGCUGUCGUCAGUUCGUGCCGUGAGGUGUUUGGUUAAGUCCACCAACGAACGCAACCCCUGCGUCCAUUUGCCAUCAGGUAAUGCUGGGAACUAUGGACGGACUGCCCCUUCAACAGGGAGGAAGGUGGGGAUGACGUCAAGUCAGUAUGGCCCUUACGUCUAGGGCUGCACACGUGCUACAAUGGCCGGUACAGAAGGAUGCAAGACCGCGAGGUGGAGCAAACCCCUAAAACCGGCCCCAGUUCAGAUUGGAGUCUGCAACCCGACUCCAUGAAGUUGGAUUCGCUAGUAACGGCGCAUCAGCAUUCGGCGCCGUGAGUACGUUCCCGGGCCUUGUACACACCGCCCGUCACAUCAUGAAAGCCGUCUGCACCCGAAGCCGGUGCCUCAACCAGCAAUGGAGAGAGCCGUCUAAGGUGUGGGUGGUGAUUGGGAUGAAGUCGUAACAAGGUA
rnacentral:rRNA from 1 species